UACGAAGGGUGCAAGCGUUACUCGGAAUCACUGGGCGUAAAGCGUGCGUAGGCGGUUGGUUAAGUCUGCUGUGAAAGCCCUGGGCUCAACCUGGGAACUGCAGUGGAUACUGGCUAGCUAGAGUGUGAUAGAGGAUGGUGGAAUUCCCGGUGUAGCGGUGAAAUGCGUAGAGAUCGGGAGGAACACCAGUGGCGAAGGCGGCCAUCUGGAUCAACACUGACGCUGAGGCACGAAAGCGUGGGGAGCAAACAGG
rnacentral:rRNA from 1 species